GUCAAGUGUUUGAGUGAGUAUGACAACUAGAACCAUAACCGGACCUUCAAAUCCUAAGUAUUGAAUCUUUGUAAGAAGAUAUAAAGACAAAGACUCAUACGGACUUCGGCUACACUAUCAAUGGUUUGAGAAGCAAGAAGAAGCUUGGUUAGUGUUUUGGAUUCAAAUAUGAUUUGAUGUCAUGUGUAUGAGUGAGUAUAAAGACUAUAACCGCUACGGAUCUUAAAAGCCUAAGUAUUGUGUCCUUGUUAGAAGAUACAAAGACAAAUACUCAUAUGCACUUUGGCUAAACCAUCAAAGCUUUGAGAAGCAAGAAGAAGCUUGGUUAGUGUUUUUGAGUGAAAUAUGACUAGAUGUCAUGUGCAUGAGUGAGUAUACCAACUAGAACCGCAAUUG
rnacentral:sRNA from 1 species